rnacentral:rRNA from 1 species
GACGAACGCUGGCGGCGUGCUUAACACAUGCAAGUCGAACGGAAAGGCCCUGCUUUUGUGGGGUGCUCGAGUGGCGAACGGGUGAGUAACACGUGAGUAACCUGCCCUUGACUUUGGGAUAACUUCAGGAAACUGGGGCUAAUACCGGAUAGGAGCUCCUGCUGCACGGGGGGGGUUGGAAAGUUUCGGCGGUUCGGGAUGGACUCGCGGCCUAUCAGCUUGUUGGUGGGGUAGUGGCUUACCAAGGCUUUGACGGGUAGCCGGCCUGAGAGGGUGACCGGCCACAUUGGGACUGAGGUAGGGCCCAGACUCCUACGGGAGGCAGCAGUGGGGAAUAUUGCGCAAUGGGCGGAAGCCUGAUGCAGCAACGCCGCGUGCGGGAUGACGGCCUUCGGGUUGUAAACCGCUUUCGCCUGUAACGAAGCGUGAGUGACGGUAAUGGGUAAAGAAGCACCGGCUAACUACGUG